rnacentral:tRNA from 1 species
GAAAAAAUUGUUGGGGUUUUUUUUUGGGUCCCGUAAAUCCAAGAAAAAAAAACCGGCCUUUUUUUUUUUUU